AUGCAGUAUGAUAGAGGUCAGCAGCAACAGCAGUAUUAUAGCUUCCAAGGCCCCCGUCAACGACCACCACCCCCUCAGUAUCCUGUACAGCACUACACAGGUAGUCCAGCCCGUCGUGAGAGGAGGUGCCACCGUUGCCAGCAGGGUGGAGUCAACGAACGCUGCACACACUGCUACCUCUGCGGGAGUGAAGAACACUUUCAGGCUGGAUGUAGAAGCAGAGGUAUGGGAGCAUAUAAAGAAACAUUUAAACCAGCAAUGGUUACCACCGAAGUGUUAAUCAUGUCCAUCAUCCACAAGUCCCAACAUUGCUCCAACUGUAAACAAGAAAAGUCAGGCAUGAGACGGUGUCCAGCAUGUAAAAAUGCACUUUAUUGUUCAAAAGCAUGCCAGAAACGACACUGGAGACAACAUAAGAGACAAUGCACUGGCUUAAAGACUAACAAAGACAAUGAGACUGUUCAGGUACCACUGCCGCAAACUCAUGUAAACAUUCCUCACAAAGUCACAUCUCUGGUGGGCAGGCAAUGUCUGGUUGAGUGUCUCUUGGAUGGCCACAGGCUUCAAGCUCUAUGGGACUCAGGCUCACAGGUAUCAAUCAUCGAUGAGAAACGGAAAGAGAACUAUCUGCCACACACAGAGCUGAGAGAUGUAGCAGAUAUCAUGGACACAUCUGAACUCACCCUGACUGCAGCAAAUGGGACCAACAUGCCAUACCUUGGGUGGGUUGAGACAACGUUCCAACUUGUUUCCGGAACUGAACGAACGGAGAAAUUGACCAUCCCCAUGUUGGUAAUGAAAGGUUUUCAGCUCACAUGCCCUAUUAUAGGUUACAAUGUCAUUGAAUACAUUGUGAAUGAGGCUGACCAAGCUAAACUGUACAGCACAGUGAGGAAAGCAUUUCCCAGUCUCAACAGAUACAAAGUGAAAGCGUUUAUACAGGCUGUUAGUGCAGAUACAGUUAACGAGUACAACGUGAUGACAACGAAAGACUGUAUUACUGUACCUAAACAAAGCCACGUGCAUGUUGAGGGUCGUAUAGCAGCAGGGCCAUUUAAACAGGACAUGGUCAUGAUAUUUGAGCCAGACUUAAACCCUCAGUGGCCAGACAAUCUUGAGUUUUUUGACACUUUGGUUAACGUUAAAAAGGGUGCCUCACCGGUCAUAACACUAGGUGUCUCUAACCCCACUGACCAUGAAAUUGUCAUUCCAGGCCGUACGUUAGUUGGCUCGGUUCAGACUCUUACAGCUGUUUUACCUGCCCAGAUGUUUGAAAAAGCCACAUCUGUCGCUACUGUUAACCAGACAAACACACAAGCCCAGUGUAGCUCCAGUGAAGAGUGGGACCCGCCUGUGGAUCUUAGCCACCUGGGUGAAGAACAGGGAGUAUUGGCGAAACAGAUGCUCAGAGAGGAAUGUCAUUCUUUCUCUAGAACAGACGAUAUAGGUUGUAUUGAAAAACUGAAAAUGACCAUCUCACUCAAAGACAACGAACCAGUCAAACGCACAUACCUGUCUGCCACGGCCGCUCUACCAAGAGAUGAAAAGUUACCUGCAUGA
rnacentral:lncRNA from 1 species